CGGCCGCGACGGCCCUGGCUGGCGUCAGUCAGGAAGCUGUUAAUCACCUCCAGCCGGUGCAGGUGCACCACCUGGAAGUUACCCACAUAUACGGCCCAGUGCGGGUACUGAGCCUGCGACACGAACUCCACCAGAUCGCCCGGCUUGCACUUGUUGAGCAGGUUCUCGGGCGUGUAGGUACUCAGCGCCGCCGAGCCCGGCGCGAAGCUCUUCUGGUAGAUGCAUUCGUCCCGGUAGAACACGGAGCAUUCCACCUCGUGCAGCCGCGGAUCGUAGGGCUGCGGCUGGGGCGGCGGCUGCGGCUCCACGUCCUCAUCGUCAUUGGAGAAAAUGUAGGAGACCCCAAUGCGGGGCCCGUCGUCCCGGUCCACGCCAGUCGGGUCGGCCGUGGGAACUUCCUUGUAACUUAGGUGGGUCAAUUUCUCCACCUGGUUGCCCAUCACGCUGCGGACACACGUUCACACCGCCGCAAGGGGAGAAAGCG
rnacentral:lncRNA from 10 species